UAACACAUGCAAGUCGAACGAGAAAAGCCUUCGGGCUUAGUACAGUGGCGAACGGGUGAGUAACGCGUGGAUUAUCUGCCCUUUAGUGGAGAAUACCUUCGAGAAAUUGGAGUUAAUACUGCAUAUGUUCCUUCGGGAAGAAAGAUGGCCUCUUUGCUGUCGCUAAAGGAUGAGUCUGCGUACUAUUAGCUAGUUGGUAGGGUAAAGGCCUACCAAGGCUAUGAUGGUUAGCCGGCCUGAGAGG
rnacentral:rRNA from 1 species